CAAAGCCCUCACAACAGCAAAAAACAGGCUUUUUGCCAGCUAGAUAACAGGCGGGAUUCGGAGGGCCAUUUUGUUAGCCAUCGUUUCCUCUCAACAUUCCUCCAGGAGCUGUGAGAUGGGGAGAGUAUUGCUGACUGCUACCAGAAAUGCAAUUACUGUGGGGAGUAGGAAGCCAGGAUGCACAACACUGUGAGGGGAAAUGUAUAUUUUAUUAACUUACAACCCUGACCUUUCCAUUGUCUCACAGGAAUUCUUCAGACAUCCGGAAUGUGUGCAAAAGUCUGUUUAAUAGAGAGAGGGAGUCUCUCAUAUAGCCUAGAGCAGGUGUGCCUGGUGACAAGCUUUGAAAAGAUGCAGACAGAAAGCAGAGGAUGUUUAUCUAUGAUGAAGUCCAUGCUUCACAUUUUAGGGGAAGCAUCUCUGAGUAUACAGCAUGAAAUAUUCCUCCGAGCCCCAUCAUCUCACGUUCAGUUGGGGAGACUGAGACCCCUGAAGACUGAAAUCCAAGAAUCACCUCAGGGGUAUUUUCAUCUCUUGGCCACCUGGGUACCUGAGCCCAUCGGGCUGGAACAGCAGUCUGACCGCGGUCACGCCCAGGGGAAGCGGUGACGGCACGGAACCAUCUCUCACUGCACACCUGUCAUGUGUUUCCCACCUCUGGAGAAAAAGAGACAGAGACAAAGAAACAGGCGGAUAGAGAAAGAGUAGAAAUUGUUUGGAAAGAAUAACUUUGCAUUAGCUAAUACCAUUUUUUUUUUCCUCAGUGAAAUAAAUGGAUUACACUUUAUUUUAAGGUGUCACUGUUACAGUGUAAUUAUGCAUUUAAAUACUGAGUGAUAAUAAUUAACUUAAUGUACUUACUAUAGAAUUAGAGUUAAGAUUGGGGUUUGGUUUAGGGUUAGUUGCAUGUAAUUAUGCAUAAUUGAUCAUUAUUACUACAGUAGCUACAUGUAAGAUGUAUAACAAGGACACUGUAAAAUGAAGUGUUACCAAUAAAUGUACUAUAUUUUAGUUUGAUAAUGUUUUUUAUUAUUUAAUAUUUUGUAUUUUAGGGGAUUUUAUGGUACUAAAUUAUAUUUAUGGAAUAGUUAUGAUCCAUUUAUUACCUGUUAAUCAAUUUUUGAGCAUAGACCUGAAAAUGAAAUUUCCAAAUUAAACUGUUGUAAAUCUUGAAUGCUUUAGAGAACAUACUCAGGUUUGGUCUGUUUUUAAAGAAGACACUUGGUGGAUUAUUGCUAAAGUGAAAAAAGUGAAAAAAAAGUGAAAAAAAAAAAAAAAAAAAAUUUUUUUAGGUUUACUAUUAUGAAAAAAUGCAUAAAAAUACUAUUUUUAAAGUUGAAAUGAAAUAUAUAUUUUCCAAAACAUGUUUUUACUCUAAAACUGAAAGAAAAACAAAGCCAUAAUUCUAAACAAGUUGUGUUCCAAAUUUGAGGUUGAUAUCUCAAAAAAUGAGCUUUCAGUAAAAUUUAGUUUGGAUGCAUUACCAAACAUUUUCACUAUAUGAAAUUUGCUUCCUAUUUGUUUCCAAUGCGGCCAUUUUUGACCGCAAACAGUACAAGUGUGACUAUUUUUUUUCAGGAUCAUUUAACCUUUUCGAAUCAUGUCCAUGAUUUUGUGUGUUUACAUAGCAAGUGCCAAAACCUUUCCCAAUUUUUGUACCAUUUCAUUGAACGAUGAACCACCAAAACAUAAAUUUUUUUGGUUGAAGAGCACCAUGGGGUUAAAAAAAAAAGACAAAAAAAAAAAAAAAAAAAAAAAUGAAGUACAUGCUAAAUACACGUUAGUGACUGAACUGCACCAAAAGGUUAAUAAAACAGAGGCAGACUAUAUUACCACAGAGGAGGGGGGUUCCUAUUAAUUUGGCAGAAUUAAUUGUGUUUUCAGAUCCGCAAGGUCCAUAUUAAGCAGUGUUCCAAUAUUUACAGUCCAUUGUAAGUUAAACUAAAAUGACAAAUUAAAUGUUGGGAUUAUUUGAACUGUACAGCUCAUUAAUUUUUUGUUAGGCUAAUCAUCAGAUAUUAAACGUGGCGGUACAGUGUUUUACAUCUGGCUCUAAAACAUUCAAGACACCUGAAAACAAUAUGAACCGUAACAGAUGCGACAGACAACUGGAACAAAUGUGCUUUUCGCUUAAAAGGAUAUUUUAAUGCCACAGGCUCUCUCUGUCUUUCUCUUUUCCUCUCUCGGAUGGUCCGUACACAGUCAUUCUGGCUGGGUGACAAAUUGAGUUAAUUUUCCAGGCUUCCAGGGAAUGCCGGUGGAUCCUGUAAGGAAAGGGCACAGGGCAUCACAUAUGAGCACAAGACAUAAUCUCCCAACGCAUGUGAGCUGGAUCACAUCAUGCUUGUGUUGGCUGUGUGCACCUCACUUCACUACAGCAAUCAGAGAGCUGGAAAUCAAAUGGUGGAAAAUGGAAAUUGUAGAUGGGUUUUUUUUUCUGCUGGAGUAUCGUUAUGAAUAAAAGAUCAGGGAAUUAUUCAGUCUUAUGGGGGUUUAUAUAUGUUUCAUGUGUCUCUGUAUUUGUUAGUAUGCAUGUAAGAGCAUGUGGGUGCGUAGAUAGCAAAAAGUCGGAGACAUUUUUAUUCAUUUCCUUCGCACAGUUAAUUUCAACAAACUGGUUCAAAAACAGAUUUAUUUUUAUCAUUUGGUUCUUGGAACUACCUGCACGACAUUUUAUGCAUUCAUUUUAUUUUAUUUGUAUUGAUUUAUUUAUUUUGUUGUUGUUUUUUUUUGAAGAAGAAUAACAUAAAACAUUCAUUUAAAAACCGCAGUCUUUCAGUGAGGAAUGCUAUGGGUCAGGUUCUUGUUUGGUCUUGUUUAGUUUUAUCAGCUUAAUAAUUAGUGUAAAUUGUUUGCAUAUGAAAUUAAUUUAUCUGCAUUAUUACAGUUUCCACCCUGUUUCUGUACCAGCUCAAUAUUGUUAUUUUAGUGAAUUAAUGAAUUAAAUGUAUUUAUUAAAAAAAAUAUGUAUGUGUAUUAUACAAACUUUGAUGUUGCUACCUUAAAAACCAGAUGCUAUCAGUGGAAAUCAAUCAAAGAGAGAAAUUCAAAUUCAAAACAUAUCUGAAGAAGACAGACUUAAGGCCAAGACAAAAAAAGAGGUCAUUUUGAUUUUUUAUAUAU